GGACCCGCACAAGCAGCGGAGCAUGUGGUUUAAUUCGAAGCAACGCGAAGAACCUUACCAGGACUUGACAUCCUUCUGACCGGCGUGUAACGGCGCCUUCUCUUCGGAGCAGAAGUGACAGGUGGUGCAUGGUUGUCGUCAGCUCGUGUCGUGAGAUGUUGGGUUAAGUCCCGCAACGAGCGCAACCCUUGUCUUUAGUUGCCAUCACAUAAUGGUGGGCACUCUAGAGAGACUGCCGGGGAUAACUCGGAGGAAGGUGGGGAUGACGUCAAAUCAUCAUGCCCCUUAUGUUCUGGGCUACACACGUGCUACAAUGGCCGGUACAAAGAGACGCAAUAUCGCGAGGUGGAGCAAAUCAUAAAAACCGGUCCCAGUUCGGAUUGCAGGCUGAAACCCGCCUACAUGAAGUCGGAGUUGCUAGUAAUCGUGAAUCAGAAUGUCA
rnacentral:rRNA from 1 species